AAUAAAAGCGGUGAUGAAGUUCCACCAUAACUGCCCUUUAGGGGAUGAUGACUUCUGUUUUCCU
rnacentral:ncRNA from 1 species